CCGCUCAAAGUCCUUGGACUUGGGUGGCAUCUUCAGCUUGCCGGAUGGCCCAAAGCUGGUCGGCCAGCUCUUCGCUGAUGAGUGCCGCCUCCCAGCCGAAGCGCAGCUGACGCCGCCGAUCGGCAAUAUAGUGACCGCAGCCGUGGUAGAGGCCGGCCCUUGCCCUCGCGCAGUGGUAGCAGUAGCAUUUGACCUCAGAGUUCGUCCCUGCCUAACAUGCGUCGUGAAGGGAGCGGCGGCAGAGACGUUAACUUUUCCAGCACACUCCCAAAGCAUGUGCCGCAGUGUGGCCCUUUCCCCGCGCACUUUACACGCGUCCGUCGUGUAUAGGUGAGGAUAACACAGGCAUAGGAUUGCCGGGCUGGGGCUCUCUAUGUGAAGUAUGAAGAGAAAGCGAUAUGCACAGCAAUCACAACGCUUAUGUUAAGCAAGGCGUCCAAUGGAUGUGGCCAAAGGAGACCCUGCAAAAUUCGUGCACUCAAUCUGUGCUGCUAUCUCCAGAGCAAAAAUUUCACCUUUGCUGAAGUGUGAGAAACUGAAGCAGCAGACAGCUCCAAGACAUGAUCUAUGCAAGUUAUGUUUAGAAAAGCUACAAGUAACAAAAAAUAAUAAAAAGUGUUGAUGUACUUUUAUUACACUAUAACACUAUAUAUCUGAAUGAACAAUCUAAAACUUCGUGAAUUGGUGGCACUGCAGAAAGCCGAUGAAUGCUUGUUGAACUGUGGAAAUAUAAAAAGAAGCAUAUGAUCUUAC